UAUUGUUUUUUUUUUUAAAUUUAUUUAUUAUAUAUGUAAGUACAUUGUAGCUGUUUUCAGACACACCAGAAGAGGGCGUGGGAUCUCAUUUAUAAUCCACUCCGUGUUUGCUAAGUUUGUAAACCAAAAUGUGUCUCCAAUAACACUGGAGCACUUACCCCCUUGGUUGGAUCAUUUCCCCACAGCUGACCUUACUGUGGGAGACUCCACUUGGAGUCACACGUGGAAACAUGAUAACUCAUGUGUGGCUCGGUAGGGAGCAUCCCAGCUGUCACUGUAAGCUGUGUGUCUACCUAGGAUCUAGGUGCCCCAUCUCAGAGCAUUGCAUUAAGCCUGAACAGUCAUUGAAAAUCAUUUCCAAGCAAAUUUUAAGCAUUACUCCUUUAAGAGUGUGGUAAUUACUCUCCAAUUUUUACCUUCCUCAACUUAGAAGAGGAAGCCACACCCAGGAGAGCAUACCUAGGAACCUAGGAACCUAAGAACCUAAGCAUACUUAGGCCAGAGCUAAGGUUUGGGCUCUGAGUGGCCGCUGAUAUGCCUGCAGGUUGGUUCUGAAGAGGAUAAUCCACCUAGUGUUCUGUCUUCUGGACCUUAUCUUCCCAUGCCAAAGAACUCAAUCAUUUAGACAAAGAGUCAAGAGCUCUUGUAGGUACUUUCAUUCUGCAGAAUCAAUAUAGACUCAAGAUAGAAUCUACCUAGUGUUCACAUUUUUUAAAGAGCUAUCGGGAAAUAACUCCCCGAACCACAACUUCAUUGCGUAUUUGUUAAACCAUCACGGUGAACAUGCAGUCAGUCCAUGCAACCCAAUGGCUUCGUCUGUGUCACACAGCAGACAUCAGUUGCUAAAACUGACUAUAGGUUCAGACUCCUGGCAAACAGUCCAAGACAGCCAGUACUGGAUAGUGGCUCCCCACACAUUUUUCUCUCCCGGAUAUGACAGAGGGGCUGUACUUAUCUAAGAAAAUGAUCCCCUGAGAUGCUCAUAUGUGGCCCAGGUGGCAUCAUUUUCAGGAAUAUAUACAUGAGUCACCUUUUGUUCUGAGCUCUAGAACAGGGCCUUAAAGACCUGUCACAUGGGCAUUUGCCACUGUCUAAACCCAGGUAUUGUCCCUGUUAUUGGACCAUUUCCCCCAAAAGACAUGAGUCUAUAACUCCUCAGGAUCUGUUCGCUCUGACCUUCACUCUCCAUGCCCUCGUCCCUCCCCUCUUCCACUGCCUUGUAUAUAGACUGCCUUUAGGAAGGGACAGACAGCAGGACAGACAUUCCCCAUCCGACUCCCUACCAUAAACUUAAUAAGAGAAGGGAAGAUAGGAGAGUGAAAAGAACAUACAUUAUAGAUCUGUUGGUUCUACAAAAGAAUACAAAGCACAUGCCUUUAUCAACAGAGAAAACAAAUGCCUCUCUGUGACAGUUCCUGAUGGGCACCUAAUGUAAUAUCUGCCACCACCAGAAAGCGCAAAUAUCAUCUGUAACAGGUCUCUGCCUCCUCAGCCUGGGCCACAGUUUCUCUCUCAUUCAAUAACUAUCGAUUGAGUUCAAUGGUGUGGAUAGCUGGUGGGCAAGACAAACGAGCCUCAGCCUGGGUAACGGAUGCAUUUUUCAACCCAUGAGUGCUCACGUGCCUUGCUUCUGACCUCCAAGGCCCGACUCCUGUCUUGCUGACCCAGAAGGACUGAAGGGCAACAUUAUGUGUAGGCUUUUAGAUUCUAAACAUACUGCAUGUUCCUUGGCCUGGCUGACCCAGAAGUGAGCAAACUGCAGAAGAUGGGGUUAAAGGACCGGGAUGCUCGCCCUUACCGCUGGGCUGUCAGGCUCCCACUGCAUUGCAAACUACAGGGCUAAGAUGGAAGGUUGAAGGUCAGCCUCUUGAAAGCAGCAGAAGCAGGCCCACUGGCCGGACACAUUAAACAAGAAAGCCUUAGUAUUUGGAACCAGAAGAGAUGAAGAUGGUGCUAACGAGCAGGCAAGCCAGGAAGAUCAGGCCAGAAUGCAGGCUCUUUCAGUGCAAACUUGGGCAGAAAAGGGUCACAAAGGGAACCCAGCAUAGGAACCAAAGCCCAGGGCCUACACAGGGAGAACCUGGGUAGUGUCCUCUCAUUCCCAGAUUGUUUUCUGAAGAGCAGUGUCACCGGAUGCUUAUGACUGCAUUUAUUAUUGCAAGUCCUGUGCACAAAGUACCAAGCUCCAUUAAGGAUGACUAUCAAGCACGGCCAACUACAGAGAGCUUCUACAGAGAAGCUGGGACUCAAACCUUGGCCUUAUCCAGUACAGCUUCCUAAAUGGAGAACAUUCUUAGAGCCAAGCAUCUUUCUGGCUAAAGCCUUUCUUUAAGAACAAACUAUCUAAAACAAUAACAAAUAGUAUCAUGGAUAUACUUUUUCUAUGAUAGGACUUAUGUGCACUAGCCUAACCUCUAACUCAACCCAGAAUAACCUUGAACUUCUUCUCCCCCUGCCUCUAUCUCCUAAGUGCUAGGAUUAAAGGUGUGUACCACCACACCUACUGGAGAUUGAACACAGGGCUUUUGGGUUCAAUCCUUGGAGCUGCAUUCUGAGCCCAGUAGUGAGGUUUUGGUCCAGGUCCUUGUAAUGUUAGGCAAGCACUCAAGUCUAGGCUUCAUCUUUAGCCCUAUAACCCAGCUCUCCAUCCUUGAACCAGUGAUCUUUCUGCCUCAGUUUCCUGAGUACCUAGGAUUGCAGGCCCACAUCACUGGGCCAGCUCUCUGCCCUUUGAGUUACUCUGUGUGGCUGAGCUGUCACACUCUGGAUGCCACUGAUUUGAGCAAGAGCAGAGGGGCUAAGCCUUCUGGGAGAUCCUUCCAAUAAUUUUCUCCGAAGUGAGAACAUCCAUUUCCUAAUUAAUUAUCUCCAUUAGCUAAGCUCAAUUACUUUGUGUCCACCUCCAAGAAUACAACCUUGCUCCCUGGAGACUUCCUGUUUGAAUUUCCAAGGGGGCAAAUAUUGCCAGAAGCAUGUUUUAUGUAAUUACUUACUGUAGAUAUUUCACUCUCUUUACUUAAUGAUUAUUAAAGGCUGAAAUUAACUGCACACAUGACCAAGGAUUCCCACCAGUUUAAGAGAAAGGAAAGAGUGAAUGGACUCUCUCUGCAGGGUCCCAGGGACCAGAGUUGUAGGAGCGCCAUCCCAACCAGAAGCUCCCAGAAGCCUCCGCAGGCAGCCUUUCGGGACAUCACGACUGUUUCCAUUCUGAUGGCUCAUGUGGAAAAAGCUCACUGCAAAAGCAUAAGGAUCCAAAUGUGAUUCCUAAAAUCGGUAUUAAAAGAAAAGCCUGGCCUGGUGAUACACGCUUGCAAACCCAGUGCUAAGAGGCAGAUACAAGCAGAUCCAUGGGUGUCCAUUUCUUUUCUUGUUGUGAUCAAACACCAUGAAAAAAAGCAACAUAGGGAGAACAGGGCUAUCUAGGCUCACAAUUCAAGAUUACACUCCAUCCUGGUAGGGAAGGCAUGGAAGUGGGGCUUGGGGCAGGGUGUAUCCACAAUGGAUACUAUGUUCAGCUCACUUUCCCCUUUUAAAAACUAGUUAGCAUCUCAGCCUAGGGAAUGGCGCCACCCAUAGAGGGCAGGUCUUCCCUUCUUAAUUGACCUGAUCAAGAUAGCCCCCACAGACAUGCUCAGAGGCCCACCUUGCAAAUGACUCUUCAUCUCAUGGGGUUGACAAUUGAGAUUAACCAUCCUCCUUGGGAUCACUGGCUGCCCACUCAGCUGACAUGCUGCCUUCUCUGGUGAAGUGAGAAACUGUCUCAAGAACAAGGUGGCUAGUAUCAUGAGGAAUGACAAGCUGCCCUUCACACACACACACACACACACACACACACACACACACACACACACACACACACACACACACUAGUAGGUAGAACUCGAUCAUUGCAGAUUCCCAGACCCUGCCCCUGGAAGUACUGAAUCUGCAUAUCUGAACAAGAAGGCUAGGAAUCUGCACUUUGAACACCCUCCCUGAGGGAUGCUGCUGACAUUGAUAUCUGAGGAGCGAUGACAAUGAUUUGUCUGAUACAUAAAGACAGCCUUGUCAUUGGAAACAGGAACGGCAAAACGAGCACAAGCCAGUCUCUUCUUGCUGUACUUUCAUAAUGAGAUUUCAAUGUUAUCUGGUAUUACUUUAUAGAUAUUAUAAAUCCCCAGACAAGAACUUGCAAGCAGUAGCUGAUCUGGGAAAUGGAGGAAGAGCUAGGAGGGAUAUGAAGAGUGGAGAUGGGAAAAAGGAGAGGACACAACAGGACAGUAUGGGGCCAGUGAAUAGAUAUCUGGUGUCUACUCAGUUAGGUCCUCAGAAGACAGAGCAGAGCACACAGGUCCUCAAGCCAAACCUGAGGGCAGCUAGGGUGGUAUUGAUGUGACCACCUCUUUUCAGAUCUUGACUAAACCUUGCUCCUGAGAUCUGGGUGGGCCCCAUCAUCGCUGCGUGUGAAUACUAGGUUCAGCAGCUGGAUAGAGCCCUCGGGUGAACCAUAAGUGGGUCUGGCUUGAAUGGUUGAACUACCCAAAGGUAAGAGCACCUUGAAUAGCAUCAGUUUCCUCUCUACCAAGUUCCCAGCUAGUGAAGAUCAAGUGCAUUUAGAUGCCCUGUUCAGUCCGUGAAUAGGGGAACACUUGAACUUUACAGAAGACAGCUCCCUCUUGUCUACUUCAUGGUUUAGUUAUGAUGGAUUAAACAUGACACAUGAUUUACCACUGAUGGAACUGAUUAUGUUUACCAUGCUGUACAGCCAUCACUACUGUCCUGUUCUGACAGUACAAUCUCCCCAGAGAGGAUUCCUAUCCCGUCAACAUCCACUUUCAUCCCAUUCUCUCCUAUUGCCAACAACCAUAAAUCUGAAUCCUGUGUCUGUUUUAUACUCUUCCUGUCUUUGAGAUCAUGCUGUCCAUGAUCCUUUUUCCCCCCCCUGGAUUAUCGAGCUCAGCAUUUUGCUAUCACGACUUAUCCAGGUUGCAUCAUGGGUGAUGUUAUGGUCUUCAUGUGGAGUGAUCCCAUGGUUCUCAGACAAGUAGGGGAUCAUUGGGGAUUGGCUUUGAGAGCUAAGGUAACUAUAGUUCUAUCUGAUCCUUGACCCCCCUGAGAUGUAAAAAGUCCAAGAUGUACCUCCUGACACACACGCUGCUGAACUCCAUGGUGUGUUCCUUGCCAUGAUGGACUUUACCAUCUCAAAACAUGAGCCAAAAUAAAUCCUUCCCCUCUUGAGUUAUUCUGUCAUAGUGGCACAAGGGUAAGUGAUAUAAAUGAGUUCACUCUUUUUCUAGUUGAGUAAUGCUCCUUCAACUAGAAAUACAGCCCUCAUUGUUUUGGAUCCGACAGAACACUCCCAAGCUCUGGUUUCUUUGAGACAAGAACACUACAUGUGUGUACAGACUUCUCAGGUCAGUUCUCCAUACCUGCUAUAUUCAUUCAUGUUCUAGGUCCUUGGGCCACAUGGGCUGCCUUCUGCUCUAGCUCUCUUUCAUGUUUUCCAGUUCCUUUCUUCAUGGAAGGAACCUACAGGACAGAUGAAAGCUCAUACUACUUUCCCCCACAAGCUUUCCCCACAGGGUUCAAUCCCAGGAGCCUGUCCACUUAGUUCUAAUAGAGAUGUUUAUGAUCUCUUUCACCUCGAGCUUCCAGGCCUUGGGGUAGUGACAGCCUUUCACAAGGGCACACACUUUUCAUUCGUUUCUUCAAGUUUAUCCACAUCUCUGAAAAUAGUCCAUGUCUGAUGUUCAAGGACUAUGCAGAUCUUCAACUCCUUUCAGGUUUGUUGAGUGCAACACGAUUCUCUCUCUUGGGCUGUCUCCAUACCCUGUUAGUUCUCUUUGACAGAUACCCCACAGCUCUGGUGUUUCCAACAUCCUGGGACCUCCAACGAAAUCUAAGCUUCAUUCUUUACAGCUUCUUGAAAUGGUCUCUCUGGGCCUCCAUGCAGGGAGUCCCCUGAUGCAGUCCUGGCCUCAAUGGCUUUCUUUAGUCAAGGAGGAAUAUUUCACAACUUCUUUUUUGUAUCCUUGACACUAAAGCUAGAACCACAUGGCCAAAGCUGCCAAGUUUCCACUUGCUGGAAUAUGGCCCCUUCAUUUAACUACCUCUGCAUCAGCUUUUUGACUUUCUGUUGGUAGUGGUUUCCUUCACUGUUUUGAGCAAUGGACUUAGCUCCAUUACUCUUCCUGGUACCCUUUUUCCUCCUCAAACUAUACAUUUUGUAUUUUUCCUGGCUCCUUUUCAUUAUAGAUUGGUAUAAGAGUGACCACUAGUAACCACAUGACACAGUCAAUGCUAGGCUGUCUUGAGAUCUUCUCUGCUAACACUAUUAAUCCCAAAACUCUUCAAAUUAGCCUCAAGAAGAUUGGGGGGGGGAAAUAAUGGAAAAAUGCAGCCAUAGUCUUCACCAAAAUAUCACAUGAGUGACCCCAGGUCACUUUCUAAUGUUCUUGUCCUAUGAAACCUUUCAAACAGACCAUUAUAAUCUACACUGCUCUCAGCAACAUUGUCUUCCAUGCUCCUACUAGCAUGGCCCUGCUUAAAGUGUUCAACUCACUUCCUAAUCCAAAGUGCCAAAGUCCACACUCUACCAACAAGCAGCAUAGUUGGGUCUAUCAAUCACAGCAAUACUCAAGUCCCUGGUACCAACAGGGACUGUUAUUAGGGUUCUGUCUUUGUUAGGGUUUUUUAUUGCUAUGAAGAGACACCAUGACUGUGGCAACUCUGAUCAAGGAGAGCACUCAUGGGCUUGCUUAAACUUUCAGAGGUUUAGUCCAUUAUCAACAUGAGCAGAAGCCUGGAAACACGCAGUACACAUGAAGGAGCUGAGAAUCCUACCUCUAGAUCCUCAGGCAAUAGGAAGAGAGAGGCAAUGGGCCUGGCAGGGGUUCUGAAACCCCAAAGUGUGUCCACCCAAGUGACAUACUUCCUCCAACAAGGCCACAGCCCCUAAUCCUUCUAAGUAGUGCCACUUGCUGAUGAUUAAGCAUUCAAAUACAGGGGUCUAUGGGGACAUUCUUAUUCAAAGCAUAAGAAAAAAUUUCCCAUUGUAAAACCUUUGACUAUUAUGAGGGUUACCAUUUACUUUCACAUUUUCUGAUGAUAAAACUAAAACCAAUACUUUCCUAAGGUUACCAUGGGAAGCAGCAGAGGCAGGAUUCAAAGCUGUGAUAGUCUGAUGCAAAUAGUCUGAUGAUAGUCUAUGUUUCUAUUUACUGUAUUAUAUUAGACUUGUCAAAUAGUUAUCUUCUGCCUCAGAUUCCACACUUCACCAUCCUCUCAAGUGUUAAUUUCUUACUGUUUCCACUAAGAAUUAAACCACAUGGACUUUCAGGUUUAUAGGCCUAUUCUUAAAGGGCAUGGGUCCUUAUAAAUUAUUUUAAGGUCAUAUCUAAACUAGAACGUAUUCUGGAUACUUGUCAGUUCCUGCCCACUCGCUCUUUAGUCCCAGCCCUGACAACCAGCUAGUUCUAGUGUGAACAGGGAGCACCUGGUUUGGUCUCUGCCUCUCAUUCCCACUUUUUCCCCUGAUUUAUCAGACAUCUUGCAGUGGAAUACCACAGGGAACACAGACUAUGGGUCAUAGUGACAUGACUGAAGAAUGCAAGGGAGAUGAUAUCUCUGGCACUGCCUUGACUAAUGAGCAAUGAGAAACAAGCCUUCCCCCCACCCCCCCAAAAAACACAAGACAUCUGUGAGUGCUUCCUAUGGCUUUCUUAGGAGGGCUUUGUGGAGAGUAUGCCUCCAUCACCCAUAGUAGUGUCCAACCCAACCGUCCUUUGAUUUGGCGUUCUUACUUCCAAAUUGUAGUGUCUGUGUUCCCUGGACUCUCACAGUCCCUCACACUGAGGUUGGCUCUCUGAGAUGGUUACUGAAAGCGAUUUAGUUUUGUGCUUCAUUUUAGAAUAGGAUCUCCUUAAUUAAUAUAGACUUCACAAUAUUUUGAGGAGUGUGGUGGUCCAGGCUCUUUAAGGAUGUGACUGUCACAAAGUGUUACCUCUCUAAGCUCUGGUUCUCCAUGGGCAACUAGGGUUCACCUUUGCCAAGCAACAGACAUGUACUGUUGGCAUCACCGGAUAAUCACUCAAUGGUGCUCCGCCCACAAAUCAAGCAAAGGCCCAGCAUCCGGCUCCCUUCAGCCCUCUGCUCCUGCCAUGCUCCUUUGUCUCUGUGAAAGGCUUUGUUUCAGUCAAGAAAAAGUUUUGAGUACUUGGGACCAGCUAAGGUGACGAGAGUUUCCAAGGAUAAGAGGAUAAACAGAACAAGUCCUUGCCCUUCAGGGAUGAACCGCCGGGGCUGAGAGGAGAUAAGCUAAAAGCAAACACUCAUACCUUGCAAAAAAUUACUCGGAACUGGAGCAACAGUGACACAGAAAAUUGAGCUUUUAAAGCUAAAGAAUAUGAAGCCUUCCUGUAGAACAUGAGCUUGUAUUUUAAACUGGAAUUAGUAAAGGUUGUGUUUCGAUCUCCCCCUGCUUUCCCCUUGGUCUAACCCUGUGGAUUAUACCAAUGUAAAGACAUGAUCAAUCAACCACCCAUUCAUUUGUGGGCCUGUAUGCUCAACAGACAAUGUGAAGACAUGAUCAAUCAACCACCCAUUCAUUUGUGGGCCUGUAUGGCCAACAGACAACAUGUUUGGCAUCGGUGUGCUUCUGGGAGAAGGAGCCCCAUGACAGAUGCUUCCCCCAGAGAAUUGAAGAGGCCACCAGAGAGGGCACAGAGGACUGCAGAUGAGUAAGGAGACAAGCCGAUCCUGAUGGUACUCUGCCUCCGGGAUGGGGAACAGCGGCAGCCAAGAUGAGAGUGCUUUGUUUACAUCGCAGGUACACUGCAGCAUCCCUGAGCUUGGAGACAACAGACGGCUCUCAGCACUCCACUUGGGGGCCACUGACCGAGCAGAACUGCAGGAGACCAGGAAGGAGCCAGGAGCAGAAUCUGAGCUCUCACUGAGCAAGUGAGCUUAUGUACAAAUAUAGAAUUCAUCAUAAUGAGGGUCAGCUAAACACACAUAUGCACACAUGCACAUACAUGUCUACAGAUGUAGACACGUUAUAUAUACAUACAUGUUCAUAUACACACAAAUACACACAUACAUGUGUGUGUGUAUAUAUAUACACAUAUACACAGAUAUACAUAUGCAUACAUAUAUGCAUGCCUGCACACACAUCAAUAUGCAUAUACACAUAUUGGUGCAUAGCAUGUAUGUAACUAAAUUUACAUCUAAAACGCUUUGAGCUUUAUGCAUAUAUCAUACAUGCUCAGAAAAAUUCACGUCACUCUACCUGGUCAUUGCUUCACGUAGAAGUCUGUAACUAAUGGAAGAAAAUCCACAGUUUUGUAAACCAAACAUUAUGGAUGAAAUUGUAAGCAUAGUCAACAGGCAAGGAUUAACAAGAUUUUCUUCUCUUUGGAAAAGAAAACCAUACCAAGAGAUUAAAGCCACUUUAAAGGAAAUACAGGAGAAAAUGUUGGCUUGUCCCUUCCUGGCAUCAGCUGCAUAGACUCCUGGGCUCAGAAAAGUGGCUGUUGGUCCCUUCUUCCUGGUUAUCACACUAACAAAUCCCUGGGUGUGUGUGUGCUUGGUUGGCUGGACAGCCGCUGGGGUUCGAACCUCCAGCACAGUGUCUGGAGCUGCAACCGAGCUGCCCUAAGCCUUUAAUCUCGCAGCUCCCAGGUACUGCCAUGAGUCACCAAUCAGCUAGCACCAGCCACUGUCAGAGGGACAGAGGGACGGAAAGGAAUGAGGUACACUGACAUAUGUCUGGAUAAUAUAUGAGCCAGAAAAAUAAAAGGAAAAGAGUGAUCCUCCCUCCUCAAGGCAGCUACUGUUGACAGCCUGGCGUGUAGCUUCCUGUCUUUCCACACUUCCACAAGGAUGUGUGCAUGUGUGUGUGAGUCCACUGGCUUCUAAAGACUGAUGUGGUAUAGCUUGUUGAUCGGACAAUACACAAGGGACGCCUUGGCACUUCAGAUGACGAUUUCUUGGAGACUAUUCCAAGUCUCCCAUCCUAUGGGAGGGCACAGCAUACUUGCUACAACCCACAAAAUGUCCCACAUACCUGUGUGAUGAUGGAGAUGUCCUGGAUUUGCUCAGUAGCCACUAGCCACGUAUCACUAUAGCACCUCAAAUGCUUCCUGUGGCCGAGACAUUAGAUUUAAAUUUUUCUUUCAUUUUGAUUAAGACAACUUAAACAUGGUCAAGGUGCCUAGUGGCUACUGUAUCCAACAGUGUAGAGUCAAUGAAUCCCUUAAAAGAAAACCCUAUGUUUGUUGUUCUGAAAUAAUAUGUAGGAGGUGUUGAUGUGAUACACAUUCAUGAAUGGGAAUACCACAGUGCUAAGUACUACCUCAUCACACAGUGCUAAGUACUACCUCAUCACACAGUGCUAAGUACUACCUCAUCACACAGUGCUAAGUACUACCUCAUCACACAGUGCUAAGUACUACUUCAUCACUCCCUAACUGAGGUUUCUCCAGUGCUGUGUGUUCUACAAACAGUGAGCCGAGCUCUUCUGGUCUGCAUUGACUUCUAUUAGGACAUAAGAAAGAAGAACCUCGCAGCUGGGAAACAAUCAUACAGCAUAGGUCGGGAGUCAGGCUGGAGGAGUUGCUAUGCAUUUAACGCUCUUACUGGAGAGCGGCACAGCUGCCCUGCCGGGUGUCCAACAGGUGUAGACCUUCUAGAAAGUGCUAAUGCUGGUCUCUAGGCUUUCGGCAUCAGAGGAUCUAACUAAUUCCCCACUUGAGGAGAAGGGUCCGCUGGCUGCCUGGCUUGAGAAGGGGCUGGCAGCAACCUUAUCGCUCAGUGCUCACAGUAAUGGAUCAUUAAUAGUUCCCCAUAUUAAACCGUGACAGGCAAUAUUAGAGUCUCUUCCUUAAUGUCUCCCAAUUACCCAUUCCUAUCCGUUUCUGCCCAUCCCCCCCCCACACACACACACACAAAAACACAAAUAGGGCCUUUGCUGCAUUUCGGGUUAAUUGGGCCGUGGUCAGAGCUCAUCUCAGGGGAUGAAUGUGCUCAUGUCUGUGUCUUCCUCCUGCAGCCCACUGAGGGAGAACUGAGUGUCACUCUCACUGGGACAACCCUGAGACUGGGCUGGCCAGGGAAAGCAAGGGUCAUGGACAGCUCUGUCCCUUUAAUCCGACACAUUACUCUGGCCCCUGGGCAACAGCCACAUUUCCAACAGCCGCCUUCCUGGACCUGCUUUAAAAUGGCUUCUGCCACAGCCUGGGA